GCAGAUAGAAGAUGUUAUAAUCGAAGAAGGAAUCAUUCUGUUCAAUGACAUCUGGAUGAGACUGAAAUAAAUGUCCCGCUGACCCCGCAACAAACACACAACGGUCAUUGCCAAGUGACAAUGCCCUUACCCAACAGUAUGUGCCAAUGUGGUUUUUUUACAUCUCAUAUUAUCUCUUUUAUUUGGUAUACUGAUGAUGUACCGGAUAUGAGAUCACCCGCGGCUCGUUUAACCUCCUAGACACUGGGAGGAGCUAAAAAAAAUUAAAGAAUAAAUAAUAAUUUUGAUAACCAAAGAGAAGACGACCAAGGGAAGAUCAAAAUUAUAUAUACAUAUGAAGCAGUUAUUAUGAUUAUCAUAAAUGGGCGUUUUGGACUUGAUUAAAAAGCUGGAAGAGAUGCUGUUAUAAUCCUGAUUAAGAAGACAAUGAUUUUUGAGACAGGAUUAAAUUAGAAUAGACAUUUUAAUUGCUGCAGUUUUUGGGGUGUGUUUGUAUGGAGAGGGAAAG